rnacentral:sRNA from 1 species
GUGCUGAGCGCUGCGACUGCAGCCACGCAGAUGGCUGCCACCCUACCACGGGCCAUUGCCGCUGCCUCCCCGGAUGGUCAGUCUGCUCCCCUGGUUUUUAUGGGCAUCGCUGCAGCCAGACAUGCCCACAGUGCGUUCACAGCAGCGGGCCCUGCCACCACAUCACCGGCCUGUGUGACUGCUUGCCUGGCUUCACAGGCGCCCUCUGCAAUGAAGUGUGUCCCAGUGGCAGAUUUGGGAAAAACUGUGCAGGAAUUUGUACCUGCACCAACAACGGAACCUGUAACCCCAUUGACAGAUCUUGUCAGUGUUACCCCGGUUGGAUCGGCAGUGACUGCUCUCAACCAUGUCCACCUGCCCACUGGGGCCCAAACUGCAUCCACACGUGCAACUGCCACAAUGGAGCUUUCUGCAGCGCCUACGAUGGGGAAUGUAAAUGCACUCCUGGCUGGACAGGGCUCUACUGCACUCAGAGAUGUCCUCUAGGGUUUUAUGGAAAAGAUUGUGCACUGAUAUGCCAAUGUCAAAACGGAGCUGACUGCGACCACAUUUCCGGGCAGUGUACUUGCCGCACUGGAUUCAU